ACUGUUUACUUAUAUGCUUGAUACGUGCUAGUUAUGUGUAAGUUUUUACGUAAAUGCUUGUACACCAAACCUGACCUAUACCGGUAACCAUGUUAGGACGUGGUGACCAACGUGAUUGACAAGUAACCUAAACCUACCGAGCAACCCAAGGUGAGUUCACAACUUAAAAGCAUGCGUCCCGGUGGUUUGGGACACGAGACUAACAACCCUAUCCCCUGGUAACCAGUGACGAAGGAGCUUGCAGCUUGGGAAUGUGUAGUGUCUGUUCACCCUUGUGUUGGGUGUUACCUUAUUUUGAAUCAUGAACUUUGUU
rnacentral:lncRNA from 1 species